rnacentral:rRNA from 1 species
UGGGGAAUCUUGCACAAUGGGGGAAACCCUGAUGCAGCGACGCCGCGUGAGCGAUGAAGGUUUUCGAAUCGUAAAGCUCUGUCCUAUGGGAAGAUAGUGACGGUACCAUAGGAGGAAGCCCCGGCUAACUACGUGCCAGCAGCCGCGGUAAUACGUAGGGGGCGAGCGUUGUCCGGAAUUACUGGGCGUAAAGGGUUCGCAGGCGGCAUGACAAGUCCGAUGUAAAAGGCGAAAGCUCAACUUUCGUAAGCAUCGGAAACUGUCAAGCUUGAGUGAAGGAGAGGCAAGUGGAAUUCCUAGUGUAGCGGUGGAAUGCGUAGAUAUUAGGAGGAAUACCGGUGGCGAAGGCGACUUGCUGGACUUCAACUGACGCUGAGGAACGAAAGCGUGGGUAGCAAACAGG